CCUACGGGUGGCAGCAGUGAGGAAUAUUGGUCAAUGGGCGAGAGCCUGAACCAGCCAAGUCGCGUGAGGGAGUACUGCCCUAUGGGUUGUAAACCUCUUUUGCCGGGGAGCAAAAGCCGGACGUGUCCGGCUGUGAGAGUACCCGAAGAAAAAGCAUCGGCUAACUCCGUGCCAGCAGCCGCGGUAAUACGGAGGAUGCGAGCGUUAUCCGGAUUUAUUGGGUUUAAAGGGUGCGCAGGCGGAUUUUUAAGUCAGCGGUAAAAUCGUGGGGCUCAACCCCAUCCAGCCGUUGAAACUGGGGAUCUAGAGUGUGCGAGAGGUAUGCGGAAUGCGUGGUGUAGCGGUGAAAUGCAUAGAUAUCACGCAGAACCCCGAUUGCGAAGGCAGCAUACCGGUGCACAACUGACGCUCAGGCACGAAAGCGUGGGUAUCGAACAGGAUUAGAUACCCGGGUAGUC
rnacentral:rRNA from 1 species